rfam:Oryza glumipatula chromosome 5, whole genome shotgun sequence.
AAUAAGUGCAGCUAUUAGUUUCAACGCUCAACUUUAAUCGUUCAUUUUAUUUAAAAAAAUUUUAUAAUUAGCAUUUUUGUUGUUAUAAGAUAAUAAAACAUAAAUAUUACUUUACUCGUGACUUAUGUUUUUAAUUUUUUAAAAAAAAUUUUAAAUAAGACGAACGGUCAAAGUUAUGCGCGGAAAACCAUGGCUGCACUUAUU